ACGAGGCAGAGAAGAGUCUCUCCAGAUCAGAACACCAGAUGGACAACGCUAGCCCUUCCGCCCUCCCAGAGUCCCCGUGUCGUACCUCUCCCAGUAGCACCUUACUGCUGGGUCUGAAGAGGUUGUCUGUGCGGCUGGUGGACUGCAGGAAAACAACAGGGCUGAGUGGAACUGUGAGAGGAGGAGAAGAGAUAGCAUGAGAUUUUAGAGGGAAAGUGGGGAAAUGUCAUUUCCACCACAGUCAUUUCCACCACGGUGUUCAUUGUGGUGGUAAAGACAGGUUGUGGUGGAAAUGACAUUGUUCGUGCUAAACAGCAAAUUAUUUGGGCUAUAAUACUGAUACUAAAUUCAAAAACAGUUUUAACAAUAUUACAAUAUUGUUGGUAAAUAAGAGAACAAUAGAUAAGUAGGUUUGACAUGAUGUCUUGGCUCUUUCUUUAAGAUGGCAAGCAAUACCACAGCACAGAGGUCAAGAUCAUACAGAGAAAGAAUAAAAUCAGAUCCACUUAAAUAUGCAGAGUCCCUCAAGAAGGACAGAGAAAGAUACCUGAAGAAAAAGCAACAAGGUGUUGUUAAAUCUGUGACAGAAAUGCCGAAAAGAGAACAACGAAAAAUGAGAAGACAGUGGCGAAUUUCUCAACGAAACAGACGUAGGAAAUGGAAAAUGGUCUCAGCAGUGAAUAGUUUCAUGGCACAUACAACACCACCACCAUCACCAGACAACAUGAGUGUUAAUGCAGAAGACAUCCCUGAAACACCUCAGCUGUGUGAGCCUACACCAGAGAGAACUCCACAGAGGAAAAGAGGGAGAAAAAAGGUGUACAGAGAUCUUAAUGACAUUAAACAAAAGCUUGAGGAUGCCCUCAGAAAAGUUGAAAAAUACAAAAAAAGAAGUAAUCGACUGAAGAAGAACCUGGGGAUCCUAGAGUCACCUAAAAUGAAAACAAAGCAACAGAUGCAGCAAGAAAGCAAGCAAUUAAAGAAGACACUCCUAUUCCAUAACACCAUUAUGUCAGAAAUAAGAAAAAGUAUCAGAAUGUUGACAAUCGUAAAGCUCGGCAACUGAUCUCCAAACUUGUGGCUGGCAAGAUCUUAAAAAAAUACCGCCUGGUCACCAUGGCCAAGAAGGAGUUUGGAUUCUCUACAAAACUAAUCAGGACAAACAUGACAAGGGCCGACAAACUCAAAUACACCCGCAAAACACAACGAAACAGAGUCAGCCAAGAAGUGAAGGAAAAGAUAACAACGUUUUUAGAACGCGACGAUAACAGUAGGGCCACUACUGGAAAGAAAGAGACAAUUACAAAGAUGAAAAAUAAAAUGCAAAAGCGCUUCCUGGUGGAUUCUAUGCAGACACUGCACCUGAAGUUUAGACACGAGAAUCCCGAAGUCAGACUCUCCUAUGCAGAGUUUUGCAAAAAGCGACCCUUUUGGAUUGUUAAACCAACGAUCAAAGACAGAGACACAUGUCUGUGUAAGCUACACUCAAACAUACAGUUCAUGGCAAACAAACUGUUCUUUCACAAAGUCAUUAAAACGUCCAAAGUCACCGAUCUCAUGUAUUCAGUUACAUGCAAAAAUGUGACAAAAGAAUGCAUGUACAGGGAGUGUCUGGAUUGUAAAGACCAUGAACUCCAAACCUCUGCCUUCGAUGCUGGGGAGCAAACCUGGUGGUUUGAAUGGAGAAGCUCUGUGGAGGACAGAGAAAAAAAGAAAAAGACGGCUCCAAAGAAAUGAUUAAAGUUCACCACACAACGAAGGAAAAAGUAUAUGGGACUUUGAAGACACUUUUGGAUGACUUUUCUGACCAACUGAAAAAAAAGA